UAGUCCACGCCCUAAACGAUGUUUACUCGAUCUUUGCGAUACACUGUAAGGGUCCAAGCGAAAGCGUUAAGUAAACCACCUGGGGAGUACGUUCGCAAGAAUGAAACUCAAAGGAAUUGACGGGGGCCCGCACAAGCGGUGGAGCAUGUGGUUUAAUUCGAGGCAACGCGAAGAACCUUACCUACUCUUGACAUCCAGAGAACUUAGCAGAGAUGCUUUGGUGCCUUCGGGAACUCUGAGACAGGUGCUGCAUGGCUGUCGUCAGCUCGUGUCGUGAGAUGUUGGGUUAAGUCCCGCAACGAGCGCAACCCUUGUCUUUAGUUGCCAUCAUUCAGUUGGGCACUUUAAAGAGACUGCCGGUGACAAACCGGAGGAAGGUAAGGAUGACGUCAAGUCAGCAUGCCCCUUAUGCUCUGGGGCCUACACACGUGCUACAAUGGUCGUGACAAAGAGUUGCUACUCUGUGAAGACAAGCUAAUCUCAUAAACGCGG
rnacentral:rRNA from 1 species